rnacentral:rRNA from 1 species
GACGAACGCUGGCGGCGUGCCUAAUACAUGCAAGUAGGACGCAGUUGCGAACGGGUGAGUAACGCGUAGGUAUCUACCUAUUAGAGGGGGAUAACUCUUGGAAACGAUAGCUAAUACCGCAUACUAGUAGAUGGACCUGCGUUGUAUUAGCUAGUAGGUAGGGUAAUGGCCUACCUAGGCAACGAUGCAUAGCCGACCUGAGAGGGUGGUCGGCCACACUGGGACUGAGACACGGCCCAGACGCCGACGGGAGGCAGCAGGAGGGAAUCUUCGGGAAUGGGGGGAACGCGGAACGGGCAACGCCGGGUGAGUGAAGAAGGUUUUCGGGUCGUAAAGCUCUGUUGUUAAGGAAGCGGUACUUAGCCAGAAAGGGACGGCUAACUACGUGCCAGCAGCCGCGGUAAUUC